rnacentral:rRNA from 1 species
CACAAGGCGGUGGAUGAUGUGGAUUAAUUCGAUGCAACGCGAAAACCUUACCUACCCUUGACAUGUCUGGAACCUUGCUGAGAGGCGAGGGUGCCUUCGGAGCCAGAACACAGGUGCUGCAUGGCUGUCGUCAGCCCGUGUCGUGAGAUGUUGGGUUAAGUCCCGCAACGAGCGCAACCCUUGUCACUAGUUGCCACCAUUUAGUUUGGGGCACUCUAGUGAGACUGCCGGUGACAAACCGGAGGAAGGUGGGGAUGACGUCAAGUCCUCAUGGCCCUUAUGGGUAGGGCUUCACACGUCAUACAAUGGUCGGUACAGAGGGUUGCCAAGCCGCGAGGUGGAGCCAAUCCCUUAAAGCCGAUCGUAGUCCGGAUCGUAGUCUGCAACUCGACUACGUGAAGUCGGAAUCGCUAGUAAUCGCGGAUCAGCAUGUCGCGGUGAAUACGUUCCCGGGUCUU